rnacentral:rRNA from 1 species
UACAGAGGGGGCAAGCGUUGUUCGGAAUCACUGGGCUUAAAGGGCGCGUAGGCGGGCAGGCAAGUCGAAGGUGAAAUCCCACGGCUCAACCGUGGAAGUGCCCCCGAUACUGCCUGUCUCGAGGGAGAUAGGGGCGUGCGGAACUUCCGGUGGAGCGGUGAAAUGCGUAGAUAUCGGAAGGAACACCGGUGGCGAAAGCGGCGCGCUGGAUCUCUUCUGACGCUGAUGCGCGAAAGCCAGGGGAGCAAACGGG